AUGAAGGUCGUCCAACGGUGCGCACUCUUCGGCAUCUCUUGUACGACGGCCGCCUGCUCCUUGAGAGAUGUGGCCGGGGGAACGCCCUCCACCGCCGCCGCCGCCGGCGGCUGCCAACCACCGCCUCGUCUCCCUCACACCUCGUCGGCCUACGCCCUCUCCCUCUCUCCCUCCCCCUCCCCUCACAGAUCAGUGCGCCCCCUCCUCCUCCAGCUCGCCUUCCUCGCCCCCUCCUCGACGUCCUCGUCGGCGGCGCCGUGCAUCACCCGGCUGGCGCGCGCCGGGGCCAGCGUCACGCCGGCUGACCCAGCCGUCUACCGCAGUCCCGUCAUCGUCACGCACCCGGGCGAGGGGCGACAGCGCGGCCGGGAGGAUCAGAGCCUCCUACGGCGCAGCAGGGCGACGACACCUCCACCUCCUACAUCGGCGCUUCCUAAGUCAAGUUCGUCGAGGCCGGCAGCGCCCGCGCCAUCCCGCUCAUCUACAACGAGUCAACCAGCCCGCGAGCGCCUCCUUGAGGUCACUCCUCCAGAUCCCCACCUCCCUCCCCUUCGUCUCUCAUUUUACUCCAGAAAUUCCUGUUCUUUGGAAGUCAACCUGAAGUAG
rnacentral:rRNA from 1 species